rnacentral:rRNA from 1 species
GACGAACGCUGGCGGCGUGCUUAACACAUGCAAGUCGAACGAAGAGCGAUGGAAGCUUGCUUCUAUCAAUCUUAGUGGCGAACGGGUGAGUAACGCGUAAUCAACCUGCCCUUCAGAGGGGGACAACAGUUGGAAACGACUGCUAAUACCGCAUACGAUCCAAUCUCGGCAUCGGGACUGGAUGAAAGGUGGCCUCUAUUUAUAAGCUAUCACUGAAGGAGGGGAUUGCGUCUGAUUAGCUAGUUGGAGGGGUAACGGCCCACCAAGGCGAUGAUCAGUAGCCGGUCUGAGAGGAUGAACGGCCACAUUGGGACUGAGACACGGCCCAGACUCCUACGGGAGGCAGCAGUGGGGAAUCUUCCGCAGUGGACGAAAGUCUGACGGAGCAACGCCGCGGGAGUGAUGACGGCCUUCGGGUUGUAAAGCUCUGUUAAUCGGGACGAAUGAUUCUUGUGCGAAUAGUGCGAGGAUUUGACGGUACCGGAAUAGAAAGCCACGGCUAACUACGUG